rnacentral:misc_RNA from 1 species
GCCGAUUCUGCCACCAAAUUCACCGAUUGCGCAAUUUGUCUGACGGAAUUCGCAACCGGAGACGAAAUCAGAGUGCUGCCUCAAUGCGGUCACGGAUUCCACUUGAACUGUAUUGACAUGUGGCUAGGGUCCCACUCAUCCUGUCCCAGAUUUUGGUGUUGGCGAGAUGUCAAAAGUGUGGCGGUUUGCCGGCGAGUUCGAGCGGCGGAGCUGAUACGGAGGCUAGAUUGAAGGCGGGAGAAGACCAUGCCAAUAGGUUCUUGCCC